rnacentral:rRNA from 1 species
AUUGAACGCUAGCGGGAUGCUUUACACAUGCAAGUCGAACGGCAGCGCGGACUUCGGUCUGGCGGCGAGUGGCGAACGGGUGAGUAAUGUAUCGGAACGUGCCCAGUAGCGGGGGAUAACUACGCGAAAGCGUAGCUAAUACCGCAUACGCCCUACGGGGGAAAGCAGGGGAUCGUAAGACCUUGCACUAUUGGAGCGGCCGAUAUCGGAUUAGCUAGUUGGUGAGGUAACGGCUCACCAAGGCGACGAUCCGUAGCUGGUUUGAGAGGACGACCAGUCACACUGGGACUGAGACACGGCCCAGACUCCUACGGGAGGCAGCAGUGGGGAAUUUUGGACAAUGGGGGCAACCCUGAUCCAGCCAUCCCGCGUGUGCGAUGAAGGCCUUCGGGUUGUAAAGCACUUUUGGCAGGAAAGAAACGUCGCGGGCUAAUACCCCGUGGAACUGACGGUACCUGCAGAAUAAGCACCGGCUAACUACGUG